rnacentral:tRNA from 1 species
GCCCGGGUGGCGAAAUUGGUAGACGCAAGGGACUUAAAAUCCCUCGGUGGCAACACCGUGCCGGUUCGAUUCCGGCCCCGGGCA